rnacentral:rRNA from 1 species
UACGUAGGUGGUAAGCGUUGUUCGGAUUUAUUGGAUUUAAAGGGUGCGUAGGCGGUCCAUUAAGUCAGUGGUGAAAUACGGCAGCUUAACUGUCGAGGUGCCAUUGAUACUGGAGGACUUGAGUACAGACGAGGUAGGCGGAAUUGACGGUGUAGCGGUGAAAUGCUUAGAUAUCGUCAAGAACACCGAUAGCGAAGGCAGCUUACUAGACUGUAACUGACGCUGAGGCACGAAAGUGUGGGGAUCAAACAGG